AUUGAACGCUGGCGGAAUGCUUUACACAUGCAAGUCGAACGGCAGCACGGACUUCGGUCUGGUUGCGAGUGGCGAACGGGUGAGUAAUGUAUCGGAACGUGCCCAGUCGUGGGGGAUAACGAAGUGAAAAUUACGCUAAUACCGCAUACGAUCUAUGGAUGAAAGCGGGGUAUCGCAAGACCGCGCGCGAUUCGAGCUGCCGAUAACAGAUUAGUUAGAUGGUGGGGUAAAGGCCCACCAAGCCAACGAUCUGUAGCGGGUCUGAGAGGACGACCAGCAAGACGGGAAAUGAGUGACGGUCCAGAAUCGUACGGGAGGAAGGAGUAGGGAAUUAUGGACAAUGGGCGAAAGCCUUAUCCAGCCAUUCAGCGUGGAGGAUGAAGGCCCUCGGGUUGUAAACUGCUUGUGUUCAGAACGAAAAGGCUUCUAUAAAUGCUAGGAGAUCAUGACGGUGCUGUAAGAAUAAGCAGCGGCUAACUACGUGCCAGCCGCCGCCGUAA
rnacentral:rRNA from 1 species